rfam:Ictidomys tridecemlineatus contig010373, whole genome shotgun sequence.
UGGGUUGUGGUUCAGUGGUAGAGCACUUGCCUAGCAUGCAUGAGACACUGGGUUCAAUCCUCUGUACCACAU